UACGAAGGGGGCUAGCGUUGCUCGGAAUUACUGGGCGUAAAGGGAGCGUAGGCGGGUUAUCAAGUUGGAGGUGAAAGCCCGGGGCUCAACCUUGGAAUUGCCUUCAAAACUGAUAGCCUAGAGUAUGAUAGAGGUAAGUGGAACUCCGAGUGUAGAGGUGAAAUUCGUAGAUAUUCGGAAGAACACCAGUGGCGAAGGCGACUUACUGGAUCAUGACUGACGCUGAGGCUCGAAAGCGUGGGGAGCAAACAGG
rnacentral:rRNA from 1 species